rnacentral:rRNA from 1 species
CCAACAAUCGUACCCCCAAACCGACACAGGUGGUCAGGUAGAGAAUACUCAGGCGCUUGAGAGAACUCGGGUGAAGGAACUAGGCAAAAUGGUGCCGUAACUUCGGGAGAAGGCACGCUGGCGGUAGGUAAAGUCCCUCGCGGACAGAGCUGAAGCCAGUCGAAGAUACCAGCUGGCUGCAACUGUUUAUUAAAAACACAGCACUGUGCAAACACGAAAGUGGACGUAUACGGUGUGACGCCUGCCCGGUGCUGGAAGGUUAAUUGAUGGGGUUAGCCGUAAGGCGAAGCUCCUGAUCGAAGCCCCAGUAAACGGCGGCCGUAACUAUAACGGUCCUAAGGUAGCGAAAUUCCUUGUCGGGUAAGUUCCGACCUGCACGAAUGGCGUAAUGAUGGCCAGGCUGUCUCCACCCGAGACUCAGUGAAAUUGAACUCGCUGUGAAGAUGCAGUGUACCCGCGGCAAGACGGAAAGACCCCGUGAACCUUUACUAUAGCUUGACACUGAACAUUGAGCCUUGAUGUGUAGGAUAGGUGGGAGGCUUUGAAGUGUGGACGCCAGUCUGCAUGGAGCCAACCUUGAAAUACCACCCUUUAACGUUUGAUGUUCUAACCUAGGCCCGUGAUCCGGGUCGGGGA